rnacentral:miRNA from 4 species
AGCCACUGCCCACCGCACACUG